UAUAUGUUCACUUACUUUUCAUUUACACAAUUGUCAAAUAUUCACUCAUCUAUUUAUUUUAAAUAGUAAAACGAUUGUACAGAUCAUAUAUAUAAUAACUCAUUCAUUUUAUGUUUUUAUUAUAAAUUCGUAAUCAAUAAUACUUUUUAUCAUCGCAGAUUAUACCAUAAACUGUGAAUGAAAAGUGAAAGACGAAAGACGAUUGUUAUAUCGUUCACAUUGAAGUAUUAAAAACGUCAAGUUGAAGAUUUUAAGUUUGACAGAGUCUGCAGUAAUUUUGUGGGGGAAGAUCAAAAGUUCUCUGUGCAAAGGCAAUGAAACUUCCACACGGACUCCUUUUGCGUUUGUUUCGCUUACCGAAUUUCUCGCAAAUUUUGGCGGCUCAUUGCCAAGCUCUCUGACCGCAGCGAUGUUCAAUCUCGAAGAAUACUUUUGCCAGCCUCUUUUACUUUCAUCUCAAGAUUCUUGAGAUGUGAAUGCAGAGGCCCGAUCCGCCAGAAGGGAUGGAAAAGAGAAACGAAGAAACCGGAGAAAGAUGAAGAUACACACUGAGAAGAAUGGAAACGAUGUCACGGAAAGAUGCAACGUGAAGAAGAAGCAGGUGGUUCCGAUACCGGCCCGAAGCUAUGGGUUACGUAUUUCACGUGCAUAGAAGUAUCCUGAAAGGUUCUAUCGAGCAAGAAGCAACCAGAAAAUAAAAAUAAGAUUACCCUCGAGGGCUCUCGAAAAGACUUUGAAAAUGGAAUACUCCUUCGUACUAUCAACGCUUACCCUAUUCUUCCACUUACUAUUUAUUAAAUGUACGAUAUUCAAAAUGAAAAUAAAAAACUAAAUGAUAAACUAA